rnacentral:snRNA from 1 species
UAACAUUUGCUCAAUAAAGAAAAUAUCUGUUCUUAUCAGAUUAAAAUCUGAUAUGACGCUUAUGGAGUGUCGUGAUUUUAAUCUAAUUUUUGAACUCCCGGCAUGAGGUUCGGUAUUUAUACCGCCCUUGCCACAGGUUGGCCCGCUAUUGCACUCUAUGCGGGAGCGGCCUUCAUAAA